rnacentral:lncRNA from 1 species
UGGUGAUGGUAUGCAUAGCUUCAUCAGCAUCCGCCGGGUCUGGACUCCAACUGCUAUGCUGAUGCUGAGGUAUGUGUGAAGAGACGUGGAGGGGUGGUGGUUGACCUUGUGGGACCCAGAAGGGGUUUUAUUUUGCUGUUUUUCUUGAUUCAGGACUUUUCAACCUUUCUGUCUGAAAGUGGUGUUGGGUUAGACCUCCCCUCUCUUUCCGUCUGUCUGUGGUGUCAGGUUAGACCUCCCCUCUCUUUCCGUCUGUCUGUGGUCAGGUUAGACCUCCCCUCUCUUUCUGUCUGUCUGCAGUAUCAGGUCAGGCCCCCCCCUGUUUCCGUCUGUCUGUGGUGUCAGGUUAGACCUCCCCUCUCUUUCUGUCUGUGGUGUCAGGUUAGACCUCCCCUCUCUUUCUGUCUGUCUGCGGUAUCAGGUCAGGCCUCCCCUCUCUUUCCGUCUGUCUGUGGUGUCAGGUUAGACCUCCCCUCUCUUUCUGUCUGUGGUGUCAGGUUAGACCUCCUCUCUCUUUCUGUCUGUCUGUGGUGUCAAGUUAGAUCUCCCUUCUCUCUCUUUCUGUCUGUCUGUGGUGUCAGGUUAGACCUCCCCUGUCUUUCCGUCUGUCUGUGGUGUCAAGUUAGACCUCCCCUCUUUUUCCGUCUGUCUGUGGUGUCAAGUCAGACCUCCCGUCUCUUUCUGUCUGUCUGUGGUGUCAGGUUAGACCUCCCCUCUCUUUCUGUCUGUCUGUGGUGUCAAGUUAGACCUCCCCUCUCUCUCUUUCUGUCUGUCUGUGGUGUCAGGUUAGACCUCCCCUCUCUUUCUGUCUGUCUGUGGUGUCAAGUUAGACCUCCCCUCUCUCUCUUUCCGUCUGUCUGUGGUGUCAGGUUAGACCUCCCCUCUCUUUCUGUCUGUCUGUGGUGUCAAGUUAGACCUCCCCUCUCUCUCUGUCUCUCUGUCUGUGGUGUCAGGUUAGACCUCCCCUCUCUUUCCGUCUGUCUGUGGUGUAAGGUUAGACCUCCCCUCUCUUUCUGUCUGUGGUGUCAGGUUAGACCUCCCCUGUCUUUCCGUCUGUCUGUAGUGUCAGGUUAGACCUCCGCUCUUUUUCUGUCUGUCUGUGGUGUCAAGUUAGACCUCCCCUGUCUUUCCGUCUGUCUGUGGUGUCAGGUUAGACCUCCGCUCUUUUUCUGUCUGUCUGUGGUGUCAAGUUAGACCUCCCCUCUCUUUCCGUCUGUCUGUGGUGUCAAGUUAGACCUCCCCUCUCUCUCUUUCUGUCUGUCUGUGGUGUCAGGUUAGACCUCCCCUCUCUUUCCAUCUGUCUGUGGGGUCAGGUUAGACCUCCCCUCUCUAUCUGUCUGUGGUGUCAGGUCAGACCUCCCCUCUCAUUCCGUCUGUCUGUGGUGUCAGGUUAGACCUCCCCUCUCUUUCCAUCUGUCUGUGGGGUCAGGUUAGACCUCCCCUCUCUAUCUGUCUGUGGUGUCAG